UACAGAGGUCCCGAGCGUUGUUCGGAUUCAUUGGGCGUAAAGGGUGCGUAGGCGGCGGGGUAAGUCUGAUGUGAAAUCCCGGGGCUCAACCCCGGAACUGCAUUGGAUACUGCCUUGCUUGAGUACUGGAGAGGAGACUGGAAUUUACGGUGUAGCAGUGAAAUGCGUAGAUAUCGUAAGGAAGGCCAGUGGCGAAGGCGAGUCUCUGGACAGUUACUGACGCUGAGGAGCGAAAGCGUGGGGAGCGAACAGG
rnacentral:rRNA from 1 species